rnacentral:rRNA from 1 species
UACAGAGGGCGCGGGUGUUAUUCGUUUUGAUUGGGCGUAUAGGGUAAGUAGGUGGCCGACGGUGCUUAACCAAAAAACGCAGAGUGUUCCUAUGCGCGCUGUUUUCGACUUCAAGUCGGCUAGUGUUGUAGAGAGGUUGGGGUAAAUCUGCAUGUAGGGGUCAAAUCCAACCAUAUGUGGAUGAACGUCAGUUGGCGAAGGCGCCUUUCCUGCUAUAACAGACGCUCAAUUACGGAAGCUUGGGGAGCAAACGAG